GUUUGCACUUGUCGGGGAAGGGUGAGAACCUUCGAUUAAGGUUCGACUCGAGCGAAAGCGAGAGAACGUUGCCAACGG
rnacentral:sRNA from 4 species